UACGUAGGGGGCUAGCGUUGUCCGGAAUCAUUGGGCGUAAAGCGCGUGUAGGCGGCCCGGUAAGUCCGCUGUGAAAGUCGGGGGCUCAACCCUCGAAAGCCGGUGGAUACUGUCGGGCUCGAGUACGGGAGAGGCGAGUGGAAUUCCUGGUGUAGCGGUGGAAUGCGUAGAGAUCCGGAAGAACACCGGUGGCGAAGGCGGCCUGCUGGGCAGUUGCUGACACUGAGGCGCGACAGCGUGGGGAGCAAACAGG
rnacentral:rRNA from 1 species